GACGAACGCUGGCGGCGUGCUUAACACAUGCAAGUCGAACGGAAAGGCCCUGCUUUUGUGGGGUGCUCGAGUGACGAACGGGUGAGUAACACGUGAGUAACCUGCCCUUGACUUUGGGAUAACUUCAGGAAACUGGGGCUAAUACCGGAUAGGAGCUCCUGCUGCAUGGUGGGGUUGGAAAGUUUCGGCGGUUGGGGAUGGACUCGCGGCUUAUCAGCUUGUUGGUGGGGUAGUGGCUUACCAAGGCUUUGACGGGUAGCCGGCCUGAGAGGGUGACCGGCCGCAUUGGGACUGAGAUACGGCCCAGACUCCUACGGGAGGCAGCAGUGGGGAAUAUUGCACAAUGGGCGGAAGCCUGAUGCAGCAACGCCGCGUGCGGGAUGACGGCCUUCGGGUUGUAAACCGCUUUCGCCUGUGACGAAGCGUGAGUGACGGUAAUGGGUAAAGAAGCACCGGCUAACUACGUGCCAGCAGCCGCGGUGAUACGUAGGGUGCGAGCGUUGUCCGGAUUUAUUGGGCGUAAAGGGCUCGUAGGUGGUUGAUCGCGUCGGAAGUGUAAUCUUGGGGCUUAACCCUGAGCGUGCUUUCGAUACGGGUUGACUUGAGGAAGGUAGGGGAGAAUGGAAUUCCUGGUGGAGCGGUGGAAUGCGCAGAUAUCAGGAGGAACACCAGUGGCGAAGGCGGUUCUCUGGGCCUUUCCUGACGCUGAGGAGCGAAAGCGUGGGGAGCGAACAGGCUUAGAUACCCUGGUAGUCCACGCUGUAAACGGUGGGUACUAGGUGUGGGGUCCAUUCCACGGGUUCCGUGCCGUAGCUAACGCUUUAAGUACCCCGCCUGGGGAGUACGGCCGCAAGGCUAAAACUCAAAGGAAUUGACGGGGCCCCGCACAAGCGGCGGAGCAUGCGGAUUAAUUCGAUGCAACGCGUAGAACCUUACCUGGGUUUGACAUGGAUCGGGAGUGCUCAGAGAUGGGUGUGCCUCUUUUGGGGUCGGUUCACAGGUGGUGCAUGCCUGUCGUCAGCUCGUGUCGUGAGAUGUUGGGUUAAGUCCCGCAACGAGCGCAACCCUUGUUCACUGUUGCCAGCACGUUAUGGUGGGGACUCAGUGGAGACCGCCGGGGUCAACUCGGAGGAAGGUGGGGAUGACGUCAAGUCAUCAUGCCCCUUAUGUCCAGGGCUUCACGCAUGCUACAAUGGCUGGUACAGAGAGUGGCGAGCCUGUGAGGGUGAGCGAAUCUCGGAAAGCCGGUCUCAGUUCGGAUUGGGGUCUGCAACUCGACCUCAUGGAGUCGGAGUCGCUAGUAAUCGCAGAUCAGCAACGCUGCGGUGAAUACGUUCCCGGG
rnacentral:rRNA from 1 species